CCUACGGGAGGCAGCAGUGAGGAAUAUUGGUCAAUGGGCGCGAGCCUGAACCAGCCAAGUCGCGUGAGGGAAGACGGUCCUAUGGAUUGUAAACCUCUUUUGUCGGGGAGCAAAAGACGCCACGCGUGGCGUUCCGAGAGUACCCGAAGAAAAAGCAUCGGCUAACUACGUGCCAGCAGCCGCGGUAAUACGUAGGGGGCAAGCGUUAUCCGGAUUUACUGGGUGUAAAGGGAGCGUAGACGGCUGUGCAAGUCUGAAGUGAAAGCCCGUGGCUCAACCGCGGAACUGCUUUGGAAACUGUAUAGCGUGAGUACUGGAGAGGCAGGCGGAAUUCCUAGUGUAGCGGUGAAAUGCGUAGAUAUUAGGAGGAACACCAGUGGCGAAGGCGGCCUGCUGGACAGAAACUGACGUUGAGGCUCGAAAGCGUGGGGAGCAAACAGGAUUAGAUACCCUAGUAGUC
rnacentral:rRNA from 1 species